rnacentral:lncRNA from 1 species
CUCAGGCCACCUGGUGGGGCAUCGUUCUGAGGGGAGGUCGGUAUUGUCUGUUUUGACUCUUGCUCUCAGCUGAGGAGUGUCCUUGGGGAUGUUAAAUUCUGGACCCACAUGGUUGCCCUGCUCAGGGGCUGAACAAGCUCCUGCGGUGCAGAACGGGGCCUCAGGGUGAGAAGCCACCGGAGGUGUGGAGCCAGCACUCACUGCCGCCAUCCUCCCCACAGGUGCAGAUGGCUGGACCAGGUGAAUGAAGGUGGAAGGGGCAAUGAUGGUGACUGGAAAGGCAAAGCAACCUGGCCGUGACAUCUCAGGAGCAGGCGGCCCUUUCCUGCAGUGGCUGCUCUGGGAGCUGCACCCUGUGCAUGGUUUCAUCUUUUGGUCACAAUUCACUGCCUCUCUGCAGGACAUGGGGCAGUCGCCUCUCUGAUGGGUUGGGGACGGCGGGCGCAGCUUCGGCGAGGGACCCGG